rnacentral:RNase_P_RNA from 1 species
UGGUCGCGGGGCCAGGCUUCGGCCUGCCACGAGGAAAGUCCGGGCACCGCAGGGCAGGGUGGUGGCUAACGGCCACCGUUCGCAAGGAUAGGGAAAGUGCCACAGAGAACAGACCGCCAACCCCGGCCCUAAAGGCCGGGCGGCAAGGGUGAAACGGUGGUGUAAGAGACCACCGCGGGCAGUGGUGACACUCCCGGCACGGCAAACCCCACCCGGUGAAAGGCCUAGUAGGGAGGAAGGGGCGGCCCGUCCCGCCAUAACCUCCGGGAAGGCCGUUCGAGGCGGCGGGCAACCGCCGCCCUAGACAAAUGACCGUCCACGACAGGACCCGGCUUAACGCCCGCUCCUCGG